ACGAAGGGUGCAAGCGUUAAUCGGAAUUACUGGGCGUAAAGGGUGCGUAGGCGGUUCGUUAAGUCUGUCGUGAAAUCCCCGGGCUCAACCUGGGAAUGGCGAUGGAUACUGGCGAGCUAGAGUGUGUCAGAGGAUGGUGGAAUUCCCGGUGUAGCGGUGAAAUGCGUAGAUAUCUGGAGGAACACCGGUGGCGAAGGCGGCAUCCUGGACCGGUAUUGACGCUGGGGCGCGAAAGCCAGGGGAGCGAACGGGA
rnacentral:rRNA from 1 species